rfam:Medicago truncatula strain A17 chromosome 3, whole genome shotgun sequence.
AUCCCAUGGUGAGAGCAGAGCCUAAGCAUUUCCUUAAAACGCUCUCAAGUUUCAUAAAGUGACUCCAUAUUUUUGAGAAAAAUAUUUGGUUUCUCAAUUGAGAU